rnacentral:lncRNA from 1 species
AGGUGAUACAGCUGGAGAGGCUGAGCUUUAAAUACCCUUUAAGUAGACUUAAUAGGAACGUUGCCUUUCUACGUUAGCAGUUGCACACGGCUUAUUUAGUCAUCUUGAGACUCUCCAGGUUCUUGCUAUUUGAAAAGCUCCCUUGAACUGCAAAGAUGUGUGACCAGACCUUUUUAGCAGAGGUAUUUGGUCCAUGUGACAAGUGCUCCAAAGACAAGCCUCUUAGGCCUGUUUACGUCGAAUCAGAACAACUCAGCUACUGCUCGCUAUGUGUGGAAAUGGGUGUGCAACUUCUGGUACAAAGAAAUUUGGGUACAAAGCAGAAACUUCUGCAUGUACUUCUGGGGAAAUGAAGCCUUUGGGCUGUGGCAAGGGCUUAGGACGUACAACGACUGCCUGCUGGGGGGAGCCUGAGGAGGGCAGGAGGUGAGGCUGGUCCCAGGUGCCUGCCCCGAGGCCAGCGGGGAU